UUUAGGCUAAAAUCCCUAACUACUUACAAUUGAAUUUACCUUCUCUCUCACUCACAUUACAAUCACAAUUCCAUCUCCACUCCACCUUCGACGCUUUUUUAGUUCUCCUUAUUCUCAGUCGCCGCCGAUCACCAGUUGCUCAAGUAAUUAAAACUUCACAUUCCUUUCUCUUUCUUUCCUCUUGUUUAUUUUAAUCUUGAUCUGGAAAUUGAUAAAUGAAACUUGUGUGGUUGCUUCAAAGCUGAUUGGUUUCUGAAAGAUAGAAACUUGAAGUGCAAAAGCAUUUGAACCACUUAACAAAAACCCAUGUAAAAGCAUCCAGGUAGUUUUAAGCAUUGACAUGGAGGAGUCUCAGUCUAUAGAUAUGGAUAUGGUUAAUGUGAGAGAAAGUAGCGAUGCUUCAAUGGUAAUGUUGCUUGCUUCCAAUACUAGUAUUACUACCAGUUUUAAAAGUAUGUAAAACUUCAGAAGUUUAGAAUUACUUUGAUACAUAUUUUGAUGAAAAUGGGAAUAAGAGGGCUAGGUGCAAGGGGUGCAAUAAAUCUUAUGCAUAUGGUAGUUCCACUCAUGGGACUAAAAAUUUGAAGCAUCAUAUAGGAGAUUGUCUAAAACGUGGCAACACUAAUGUAGAGCAAUUAUUGAUUGAUCAUGAUCGUAAAUUACAAAGUAGAAAGAUUAGUCAAGAAAAUUUUCGUGAGAAGAUAGUAUUAUCAAUUAUUAAACAUAAUUGUCUGUAUUCAUAUGUGGAGAAUGAAGGAACCAAGGAUAUCUUUUUAUAUUUGUGUAAGGAAGUUAAACAUUAUACUAGGAACACCACUAAGGCGGAUUGCUUAAAAGUAUAUGGAAGGGUGAAAGAAAAAGCUAAGCUUGAAUUAGAGAGACUUUCUAGUAGAACAUGCUUAACUUAUGAUGUAUGGACUUCUACUACAUCUAAGGGAUAUAUUUCUUUAACAACUCAUUACAUAGAUGAGAAUUGGGUGGUACAAAGUAAAAUACUCAACUUUUUCCAUAUUCCUCCUCCACACUCAGGGAUUGUUUUAGUAGAUAAAGUUUUGGCUUUCUUACAAGAAUGGGGAAAUGAAAAGAAAGCUUUCUCUAUUACUUUGGACAGUGCAAGUAGAACCAACUUUGUGUGCAAAAUGUUUUGUUAUGUAGGGGUGAUUUUUUCCAUGUGUGAUGUUAUGCACAUAUCUUGAAUCUUACUGUUCAAGAAGGGUUAAAAGUUAUUAGUGUGGCUUUAAAUAAGAUUCGAAAAAGUGUGAAAUACAUUAAAGGAACUGAGGCUAGAAGAAUCAAGUUUGGAGAACUUUUUGAACAAAUGAGUGUGGAAAACUCAAUGGGUUUGAGAUUGGACGUUUCCAUUAGAUGGAAUUCAACUUUUUUUAAUCCUUGAAACUGCGUUAAUAUAUCAUCGUGUGUUUGUAGCUUUAUCAACGAUAAAUCAUAGUUAUAAAUAUUGUCCAUCAAAUGAAGAAUGGGAUAGGGGGGAGAGGCUAUGCAAGUUCUUGGAACCAUUUUAUGAGGUUACAACUCUUUUAUCAGGUUCCAAACACCUUACAGAAAACUUGUACCUUAAAUGUGUGUGGGAAAUUCUAUUACGUUUAAAUGAAGAGAGGAUGAGUGAGGAUGAAGUUAUUAGUAGCACAGUGGAACGAAUGAUCCCAAAAUUUGCAAAAUAUUGGGAUUCUUAUAAUGCUGCGUUAACUUAUAGUGUUGUGGUAACUAUUGCAACUAUUCUUGACCCACAUCUAAAGGUUUAAUUUGUGGAGUAUGCUUACAAAAAGGUUUAUGAUUUAACUACUGCCUAACAAAAGAUGGAGGUUUUUAAGCAUAACUUGCAUAAGCUUUUUCAAGCUUACGAGGUUCAAUGUUCCAAAAGGAGUUUCCAUCGCACCUUCAGUUGUUUCUCCUGCGAGUGGUCCUACUCUUAGUAGGUGUAUAGAUCAUACUUGUGAUUUUGAUAACUGUGAGAGUGAAUUUAUUACCACUAAGAAAUCUAAAUUGGAUCUAUAUUUGGAAGAGAUAAGGUUUGAUCACAUCAAAUAUCAUAAUAUUGAUAUCCUCGAGCAUUAGAAGAGCAAUUGUGAUCGUUAUCUGAUACUUGUCAUGAUGGCUCGUGAUUCAUGAGUAUUCCAAUAAUAUUUGUUGCUUCGGAGUCCGCUUUUAGUAUUGACAGCAAAGUGCUCAACAAAUUUUGAAGCUCACUUCAACCAGAAAAUGAAGAAUCUUUGAUAUGCAAUCAGACUUGGCUAUAUGGAUAUGAAAGCAAAGGAAACAUGUUAACAUAAUAUUUCUUAUGUUUUAUUAUUUACAUUUAUUAAUAUUUACAGUUGAUAAUUGUAGAUGAUGAUCUCCAUGUGCCAUUAACUAAUCUAAAGAUUGCGGAAUCAAGAGACUCUACUAUCAUCCCCAUUGUGGAAUGAACAUGAGCUGACCAAGAAUAUCUUUAAUUGAGCAAUGUCAAGUUAAAUUUAGGUUAUGUUUUUGUAUUUGUGUUAUUGACUUAUUGUGUUUGGUAUUUGUUUUUGUGUAUUAGUGUUUAUGUAUUUGUUUU